GGAAUUUUCCGCAAUGGGCGAAAGUCUGACGGAGUGACGCUGCGUGAAGGAUGACGGCCUGCGGGUUGUAAACUUCUUUUCUCGAAGAAGAAGCCCUGACGGUAUUCGAGGAAUAAGCAUCGGCUAACUCCGUGCCAGCAGCCGCGGUAAUACGGAGGAUGCAAGUGUUAUUCGGAAUGAUUGGGCGUAAAGCGUCUGUAGGCUGUAUAGAAAGUCUUUUGUUAAAUGCCUCGGCUCAACCGAGAUCCAGCAAAGGAAACUUCUAUACUUGAGGGAAGUAGAGGUACAGGGAAUUCCCGGUGGAGCGGUGAAAUGCGUAGAUAUCGGGAGGAACACCAAUAUGGCGAAGGCACUGUACUGGGCUUUACCUGACGCUCAGAGACGAAAGCUAAAGGAGUGAUUAGGAUUAGAUACCCCUGUAGUC
rnacentral:rRNA from 1 species